rnacentral:rRNA from 1 species
CCUACGGGGGACAGCAGUGAGGAAUAUUGGUCAAUGGACGAGAGUCUGAACCAGCCAAGUAGCGUGAAGGAUGACUGCCCUAUGGGUUGUAAACUUCUUUUAUAUGGGAAUAAAAUGUUCCACGUGUGGGAUUUUGUAUGUACCAUAUGAAUAAGGAUCGGCUAACUCCGUGCCAGCAGCCGCGGUAAUACGGAGGAUCCGAGCGUUAUCCGGAUUUAUUGGGUUUAAAGGGAGCGUAGGUGGAUUGUUAAGUCAGUUGUGAAAGUUUGCGGCUCAACCGUAAAAUUGCAGUUGAAACUGGCAGUCUUGAGGACAGUAGAGGUGGGCGGAAUGCGUGGUGUAGCGGUGAAAUGCUUAGAUAUCGCGAAGAACUCCGAUUGCGAAGGCAGUUCACUGGACUGCAACUGACACUGAGGCUCGAAAGUGUGGGUAUCAAACAGGAUUAGAUACCCGAGUAGUC